CCGCAGAGUCUCAGACACUGUCCUAGGCACCAGGGAUCCACAGCCCGUCCCCUCCGGGCUGCGUCCCGCCAGGGAAGGCCCUGAUGAUUCCUGUUCACUCAGUGUAGCCCCAGGCUGGACCCCUUCCUAGAGCAAGGACAGGCCCCAGCACAUCACAGCAAGGGCCCUUCAGUGUCCAGGGAGGAGCAGGCGGGCCUGAGGUGCUGCCUUGAUUGGGGGGCAUAGUUUGUGUCUAGCAAAGGCCUGCUGCUUUCUCCCUAAACAAGAUCAUGGGUGAAUCCAGAGACACACCGGGCUCCAGGCUCACAGGGUCACUGCCUGUGCUGACUUCCGCUCUCUCCUUGCCUGGCACGUGGCUGGUGCCAGUGAGCAUCCCGUGUCCCUCCUGCCUGGCUUCUGGCGGCACUGUCAGCGACAGCUGCAUGUCACCCGUGCCAGGUCAGUCCCACGAGGAGGAUGCCGUUCUGCAGGAAGCUCGAUUUUCAAGGUGCAACUGCAAACUAAGAAGCUGGAUUCCAUUCUGCUUGUUGAAGUCUUUAUUAAGAGACAAUGUUUGAAGCCAAACUUGCCCACUGGUCUGUGGUCUGCUUACUCUCAGAUAUUAAUCUCUGCCUACAGUGGAGCAAAGCUCUUUUCCUCAUGAGAGGAGUCCAUUUGUGUGAAUUUAGUCCACUCAGGUGCAGUCAACUUUAUAAGACUAUUAUUGCCUUUUCCUUUGGAGGAAAUAGAAAACAAAAAGAAAAGGCAUUGGUAACUUAUUGUGUGGCCUGUUCACAGGAAGGGAGACAAAUUGUCUUUCCAAUUCUUUAAACAUCUACAAAGCUCUACUGAAAUAGAACUUCAUAUUACAGGUUGCAGUUAUUACCUUAGGAGGUAAUAGGGUUUCUACUUUCUUAUGAUAAAAGCUUCCCGGGUCAAAUCCACCCCCUGCAUAAUAUCUUGGCAUGAUGUGCAGAAUUCUCUGUUAUGUAGUGAGUGAAUGGCAACUUUUCCUUCAUGCAUUCCAAUUUUUAGGCAAAGAUAAUUCCACGAGGGCUAAGAAUGCAAGCUGGUGUUUUCCUUAGACAUAGUGAGCCAGGCAGUAAAACACAUACUAUUUUUAGGUUGCUUGGUUUUAUUAUAUGCCACGCUACUUUAUGCAGAAAACUUUCCUAAAACAUGAACAUGAAUAAAUACUGUAAUUCUUCACUACCAACCUAAUAUUUCUAAAAGAAUGUAUAGUCAAAAAUAAAUAAGAGCAAGCUUUGAGAGAGAGCUCUUUUGUCUCUGUCUUGGUUACUUUCCUUGUCGCUGGAACGCAAGGCUGGACACCCACAAUUUAAAGCAGGAGAGUUUAUUUUGGCUCACGAUUUUCGUCUACAGUCGACAGGCUCCAAAGCAGGAUGACGCGGUGAAAGGGCCCGGUGGAG
rnacentral:lncRNA from 1 species